GGUGGGUAGCUCACUGGCAGAGUGCGUGCUUAGCAUGCACAAUGUCCUGGGUUCAAAUCCCAGGACCACCA
rnacentral:tRNA from 1 species